rnacentral:rRNA from 1 species
AACGAACGCUGGCGGCAUGCCUAACACAUGCAAGUCGAACGAGACCUUCGGGUCUAGUGGCGCACGGGUGCGUAACGCGUGGGAACCUGCCCUUAGGUUCGGAAUAACUCCCCGACAGGGGUGCUAAUACCGGAUAAUGUCUUCGGACCAAAGAUUUAUCGCCUUUGGAUGGGCCCGCGUUGGAUUAGCUAGUUGGUAGGGUAAAAGCCUACCAAGGCGACGCUACAUAGCUGGUCAGAGAGGAUGAUCAGCCACACUGGGACUGAGACACGGCCCGGACUACUACGGGAGGCAGCAGUGGGGAAUAUUGGACAAUGGGCGAAAGCCUGAUCCAGCAAUGCCGCGUGAGUGAUGAAGGCCUGAGGGUUGUAAAGCUCUUUUACCCGGGAUGAUAAUGACAGUACCGGGAGAAUAAGCUCCGGCUAACUCCGUG